rnacentral:lncRNA from 1 species
ACCACUUGUGGUACCUACUAAAAGUGUUUGAGAGAUGAUGCUACCAAGUUACUUGCUUAGUUUCUUACCCCCCUCCAGUUUUCCUUAGGUUUAAGGGCAUGAUGUUGUUGUAAAUGAAGUGGAAUAUAUGUGAGAGUGUGCACCAUCACAAGCCCAUAUGUGGAGGUGUGCAUACUCUCUUGUUCGCUUGGAGUCCCAUUGU